CCAUAUACGACCGUACCGCAAACCGACACUGGUGCGCGAGAUGAGUAUUCUAAGGCGCUUGAGAGAACUCAGGAGAAGGAACUCGGCAAAUUGACACCGUAACUUCGGAAGAAGGUGUGCCCUAUUAGUGUGUAGUGAACAACGAAGCAUGAAUGGGUUGCAAAAGAUCGGUGGCUGCGACUGUUUAUUAAAAACACAGCACUCUGCAAACACGAAAGUGGACGUAUAGGGUGUGACGCCUGCCCGGUGCUGGAAGAUUAAAUGAUGGGGUGCAAGCUCUUGAUUGAAGUCCCAGUAAACGGCGGCCGUAACUAUAACGGUCCUAAGGUAGCGAAAUUCCUUGUCGGGUAAGUUCCGACCUGCACGAAUGGCGUAACGAUGGCCACACUGUCUCCUCCUGAGACUCAGCGAAGUUGAAAUGUUUGUGAUGAUGCAAUCUCCCCGCGGAAAGACGGAAAGACCCCAUGAACCUUUACUGUAGCUUUGUAUUGGACUUUGAACAGAUCUGUGUAGGAUAGGUGGGAGGCUUUGAAGCAGGGUCGCUAGAUCUUGUGGAGCCAACGUUGAAAUACCACCCUGGUGUGUUUGAGGUUCUAACCUAGGUCCAUUAUCUGGAUCGGGGACAGUGCAUGGUAGGCAGUUUGACUGGGGCGGUCUCCUCCCAAAGCGUAACGGAGGAGUUCGAAGGUACGCUAGUUACGGUCGGACAUCGUGACGAUAGUGCAAUGGCAUAAGCGUGCUUAACUGCGAGACUGACAAGUCGAGCAGAUGCGAAAGCAGGACAUAGUGAUCCGGUGGUUCUGUAUGGAAGGGCCAUCGCUCAACGGAUAAAAGGUACUCUGGAUAACAGGCUGAUACCGCCCAAGAGUUCAUAUCGACGGCGGUGUUUGGCACCUCGAUGUCGGCUCAUCUCAUCCUGGGGCUGUAGCCGGUCCCAAGGGUAUGGCUGUUCGCCAUUUAAAGAGGUACGUGAGCUGGGUUUAAAACGUCGUGAGACAGUUUGGUCCCUAUCUUCCGUGGGCGCUGCAGAUUUGAGGAAGCCUGCUCCUAGUACGAGAGGACCGGAGUGGACACACCUCUGGUGUAUCGGUUGUCACGCCAGUGGCAUUGCCGAGUAGCUAAGUGUGGAAGAGAUAACCGCUGAAAGCAUCUAAGCGGGAAACUCGUUUCAAGAUGAGAUCUGCCGGGGCCUUGAGCCCCCUAAAGAGUCGUUCAAGACCAGGACGUUGAUAGGUCAGGUGUGGAAGCCA
rnacentral:rRNA from 1 species